rnacentral:rRNA from 1 species
CUUGACCUCAAAUCAGGUAGGAUUACCCGCUGAACUUAAGCAUAUCAAUAAGCGGAGGAA